GAAGAAGGAAGCGGUGAUGGCCGGCGGCUGCUUUCGCAGAAGUAUAUCGAUCGGCUUCGGUGCUGACACGCAAAGUUGGCUGCUACGACAUAUAUGAUUCGAGCAACAUUCCGGAUCCGCGCAAUCGAUGAGACCGUCUGGAAAAGUAUAGUAAUGGGUUCUUUAUAUCGGAGACUAAUGGCUCUAAAUGGCUGGCAUAAGCCACACCCAUGAUUUAGAGCUCGAAGUAAUAUGAAAAUGAAACGCGAAAACACGAAGUUCUGUUCAAGAAGCACGUUGCAGUCCUUGCCAUCCCAGCCAUCGUAACACCUGCAUUCCCAUUGACCAUCGUUGCCGACUCUACACUGUCCGUGUCCAGAGCAGGAAUUCGGGCAACCUUCCAUGGUGCAGUGUUUUCCAUUCCAA